rnacentral:rRNA from 1 species
AUGAACGCUGGCGGCGUGCCUAAUACAUGCAAGUCGAGCGAACGGACGAGAAGCUUGCUUUUCUGAUGUUAGCGGCGGACGGGUGAGUAACACGUGGAUAACCUACCUAUAAGACUGGGAUAACUUCGGGAAACCGGAGCUAAUACCGGAUAAUAUUUUGAACCGCAUGGUUCAAAAGUGAAAGACGGUCUUGCUGUCACUUAUAGAUGGAUCCGCGCUGCAUUAGCUAGUUGGUAAGGUAACGGCUUACCAAGGCAACGAUGCAUAGCCGACCUGAGGGGGUGAUCGGCCACACUGGAACUGAGACACGGUCCAGACUCCUACGGGAGGCAGCAGUAGGGAAUCUUCCGCAAUGGGCGAAAGCCUGACGGAGCAACGCCGCGUGAGUGAUGAAGGUCUUCGGAUCGUAAAACUCUGUUAUUAGGGAAGAACAUAUGUGUAAGUAACUGUGCACAUCUUGACGGUACCUAAUCAGAAAGCCACGGCUAACUACGUG